AGAGAUAACGUAGUGUACAGGGGAGCACGCAUGGUCUAUUUAUAGAUUACAUAGAAGGGCAAAAUAGUAAAAUCAUCUGUGGUUCAUGCGCUUGGCGUGAUAGAAGGGCAUGUUGGUAAAUUUGCCUUCACGCGGGAAAUCUCCCGCGUCUCUGGCGAUUCCGCUGAUGAAGGUAGUUCCUCUGGCGGAGGCUGCUUCUCUGGCGAGGAUGACUUCUCUGGCGAGGAUGAACUUCUCUGUCAAGGGUGACUUCUCUGGCAAGGAUGACUCCUCUGACGAGGGUGACCUCUCUGGCGAGGGUGACCUCUCUGGCGAGGGUGACUUCUCUGGCGAG
rnacentral:lncRNA from 1 species